GAAUUGCCCCACCCGCGUACCAGUUUGACACCCGUAACUAGCUGCAGGAUCCAUCUGAGCCAGGGAGUUGCGGGACCGAAACCACCCAACGUCUCUCCCGAUUAAUAAUACCCAAGCCUAAAAUCCCAAGGACUUGUGGGAACCUGCACUGCUCCAGUCUUUUCAGUACUGAGGACAGGCCUUGCUCUUCUGGAUAUCCACGGGCUCUCUGCAUCACCGCAAUGACCACAGCACAGCAUGCGUCCUGCCCUGUGGAUUUUCUGUUGUAUAGUGGAUUUCUCCUUCUCUAACACAGAAAACUGGACUGUAAAACACACAUCCUUCCUGUAGAAUCUCACAAGUCCUUCUCUGUAGAGAUUUUCACUUUUUCUUACUGUUGAAAGUCAAGCAAAUCCCUAGCACCCGUGUCCUCCAGUGGUCCUGCUCUUCUCGGUGACUUCUGGAAAUAAUUAUCUUUGCACUCCAGAGAUGAAAGCUGAGUUAAAUAUGUGAGAGACCAAGCAGAUGUGACAGAGCAGAUCAUGCUGCACAUUGUCUUGUGUCACAGCGGUACAGCUGAUGAAGAGCUUGCCUGCAACGGCGUCAUUUGGAGAUACUAGCAGAGGUGGCUGUUUGGUGGAAGAAAAUUAACAUCCCUGUUACCACAUGAUCUCGUACUGAAACCUCGGAUACAUGUGUCCACAUGUUGUGGGACUAUUUUCUUUUCUUCAAAAAUUCACCUAAUUAAAGCACAGAUUCGAAUUAAAGCAAAAUAGGAAAAGUUCUCUGUGCUGGAAAUGGUCUGCUUUGCACCAUUUAAUCACUUGCUGACUGUCAUGAAAGCCUGGUAAACUGGAACCUGCAUUUUAAGAUCAUCUUGAUGCCCUUUUGGGAAAAUUUAUGUGUCCUUCUUUUGAGCUCAUGUAAAAUUUUGUCUUUACUGACCUUUAUUUAGUUUUUCCUUUAUAACGAUAAUGCAUAUCUUAUUGUCAUUACAUGUUUUCUGAUGACUUUAUAUUUUAUGUCUUCCUACAGAAUUUGUCAUUUUAGUAGGUGACCAACACAUAUUUGUAUUUGUUGCCUACAUAUGGUAGAGAUAUCAGUGCUAACAUCCUUUCAAGAACUAACAGAAAGACCAACCACGUCUCUGCUAUUACUGUUACAAAGUUAUAACAGUAUCAAGAAUCCAUAACAAAUACUAACUAGAUUAUUUUUGGAAUUUAAAAACAUUUUGGGAAGCAUUUAAUUAUAAGAUCAAUCUUUAUCUAUAUUUAACAAGUUUAAAAUGAGAAUUAAGCCAGACUUUCUAUGGAUGUUUCUUUAUUGGAUAAUAAGUUAUAUCUGCUCUGGAAUAUUUCUUAGGACUGAGAUAUUUAACAUAUCUUACAAGUAAACAAUUAUAUCUUUGGGGAAUGUUGUGAUUUUAUAAUUAUGGUAUUGACUGUUUUCUUUGGCCUGUGCUUUGUCAGCAGUUUGGAAUAUCUCUUUCUGGGAUCUUAGAUCCUCUCUGUCACCCCUUCUUUCAAAGAUGAAGAAGCAAACCUAUUGGUAGAUGUAGAAGAGAGAGAUGAAUUGAAAGGUGUAGAAAUGGUUAAUUUUUAUGAUCCAAAGAAUCAGGAACCAAAUAAUUUUUUUUCUUUCUAGUUACUUUCCU